GGGCGGUACUUUAUAUUGUCUCAACUAACCCUCAGACCCCCCUGAACUAGGUUACUAUUAUUAUACUUUGUGCGCAAAAACAACAAAAUUAAAAUUGCGGGGAAAUACACGUAACAAAAACUUAGCCAUCUUCACCAUUCUUAAGUGUGCAUACAGUCCAGCAAUGCCAAGAACAUCCACACUGUUGCUCAGCCGAUCUCCACAACUUUUCGUUUCGCAAAACUAAACUUCUGUACCUAUUAAACAAUUCCCCAUUUCCUCCUUCCCUAAGUCCCUGGCAAGCCCUGUUCUACUUUAUGUCUCUAUGUACUGUAUUAUUAUACUGGUUUUACAGACCGAGAAAUCCAGGUUCAGAGAGUGAUCUGCUUGUAGGAGACAGAAUCUGGCCUUGAGCUCGGGGCCCCACGCAUACUCUGAGUCACUCUGAAGCACGGUUUCACCUGAGACAGCGUCUGUGCUGCGUUUGCCUCUCCCAUGACCAUCGUGGCCACUGGGUGCCAGGGCCCUCCUCUGGGCCCCUGCGCUUUGCAGCCGUUCUCACGUGUAAUCCUCACGGCAGCCUUGCAGUCACUGACGGGCAGUGUCCUAUCUCCCAGUGCCAAGCUGAUAUAGGACAGAUACACUGUAAAUGUGGAAUCAGGCCUGAUGCCUGUCAAUAGAGUAAACAGUACUAAAUAAGCCUGUGGCACAUUUUUAAUGCAACUGUUUACAUUUUUUCAAAGUAGUGACACUCUCAGGAGAAAACCAACUGAAAUGCAUGAGGUCAGAAAGAGCUUCCCAGUCCCCGCCUCCCCCCUCUCCUCCUGCAGAGUCAAUCUGCUCUUCUCACCCCAGGCCACCCCCCACCCCAUCUGCACCUUGUCACCAGCACUGCUGACCCACACUCAGAGCCAGAGGCAGGCAGGUGGGCGGGCAAAGGGACAUAAGAGACCGUGCCUGCUCUGCUUCCUCCCCUGCCACUCCACCCCCACGUUCUUCCCUCCAACCAUACCCAAUCCUGACCAUUCUGAAACACGCUCUGUCCUUUCACGCCUCCCUGACUGCGCACAUGCUGUUCUGGAAGACUGGAAUGCUUUCCCUCCCCUCGUUCUCCACCUCCAAGACUCCUACGGUCUCUGCGAGCCAGCUUUGUCGCCUCCUCUGUGAAGACUCCUCCCCUACCCACCUCCCCAAGCUCUGAGUCCGCCCCUGUUUGGAGCAGACUAGUUAGCUCAUCAGAGUGCUCUCGCAUCUGGACUGAAGUGACCGUCUGUAACUCAGUGUGUUCCCCACGCUCCCAGCUCCUUGUGCUAAGAUGAGGACAUCUUCAUCUCUGCUCCAAGCAGGGGUAAAGAGGAUUUUGGAUCACUGAUUUUUAUUUUUUUUAAUGUUCUUGGUAUAUUUCAAAAUGAAGAGACAACAAGAUCACAAAUAUUGAGGCAUCUUUUUCAAGGUCUAGCAAAUGAAUACUUCCAAAUACAAAAAAUUAUAAUUGUGCCGCUCACAGAUAAUUAUAUGAUUUAUUAAGAUAUAUUAUUAAAUAUUAAUAAACAUAUGAUUUAUUAAAGCAUAAGAAAUAUAAUAUUUUGUAUUAUCAGUUCAGUUCAGUCGCUCAGUCGUGUCCGACUCUCUGUGACCCCAUGAAUCGCAGCACGCC
ensembl:lncRNA